AGCUAGUACUUGCUUUAGCACUCUUGAUUAAUUUCUUGAGUGUGUACUUGUUAAGCCUUUUAAGAAAAAAGUUAUUAACUUAAGGAAUUAUAACAAAGAAGUAACACGUAAUGGAUCCGUCCAUUUUUAGUGUGUAUCAAUCGAGUUUCUGACCUAUCAGCUUUUGAUGUUAGGGUAUUGGCCUAACAUGGCUAUGACGGGUAACGGGGAAUUAGAGUUCGAUUCCGGAGAGGGAGCCUGAGAAAUAGCUACCACAUCUAAGGAAGGCAGCAGGCGCGUAAAUUACCCAAUUCUAAAGAAGAGAGGUAGUGACAAGAGAUAACAAUACAAGGCCAAUCUGGCUUUGUAAUUGGAAUGAUGGGAAUUUAAAACCUUCCCAAAACUCAAUUGGAGGGCAAGUCUGGUGCCAGCAGCCGCGGUAAUUCCAGCUCCAAUAGCGUAUAUUAAAAUUGUUGCAGUUAAAACGCUCGUAGUUGAAUUUCAAAGAAUCGAUAUUUUAAGUAACGCUCUUAGCUUAAUCCACAUAACUGAUACUACGUAUCGACUUUGUGCGCAUUUUGCUAUUAUGUGUUCUUUUAAUUAAAAUGAUUCUUUUUAAGAUCUUUUUUUGUUUCGGCAUUGAAAGGUCUUGUUACUUUGAGUAAAUUAGAGUGUUCAAAGCAAACAGAUAUAGCAUUGCGCGUUUGAAUACUACAGCAUGGAAUAACAAAAUUGAACAAGUCAGAAUUUUGUUCUUUUUUCUUAUUUUGGCUUAGUUACGAUUAAUAGGAGUAGCUUGGGGGCAUUUGUAUUCAGAUGUCAGAGGUGAAAUUCUUAGAUUCUCUGGAGACAAACAACUGCGAAAGCAUUUGCCUAAAAUACUUCCAUUAAUCAAGAACGAAAGUUAAGGGAGUGAAGACGAUCAGAUACCGCUGUAAUCUUAACCAUAAACUAUGCCGACUAGGCUUUGGAUGAAAGAUUUUAAAAUAAGA
rnacentral:rRNA from 1 species